AGCGGGCAUGCUUUAACAUGCAGUCGAACGGUACAGGUCUUCGGACGCUGACGAGUGGCGAACGGGUGAGUAAUACAUCGGAACGUGCCCAGUCGUGGGGGAUAACUACUCGAAAGAGUAGCUAAUACCGCAUACGAUCUGAGGAUGAAAGCGGGGGACCUUCGGGCCUCGCGCGAUUGGAGCGGCCGAUGGCAGAUUAGGUAGUUGGUGGGAUAAAAGCUUACCAAGCCGACGAUCUGUAGCUGGUCUGAGAGGACGACCAGCCACACUGGGACUGAGACACGGCCCAGACUCCUACGGGAGGCAGCAGUGGGGAAUUUUGGACAAUGGGCGAAAGCCUGAUCCAGCAAUGCCGCGUGCAGGAUGAAGGCCUUCGGGUUGUAAACUGCUUUUGUACGGAACGAAAAAGCUUCUCCUAAUACGAGAGGCCCAUGACGGUACCGUAAGAAUAAGCACCGGCUAACUACGUGCCAGCAGCCGCGGUAAUACGUAGGGUGCGAGCGUUAAUCGGAAUUACUGGGCGUAAAGCGUGCGCAGGCGGUUAUGUAAGACAGAUGUGAAAUCCCCGGGCUCAACCUGGGAACUGCAUUUGUGACUGCAUGGCUAGAGUACGGUAGAGGGGGAUGGAAUUCCGCGUGUAGCAGUGAAAUGCGUAGAUAUGCGGAGGAACACCGAUGGCGAAGGCAAUCCCCUGGACCUGUACUGACGCUCAUGCACGAAAGCGUGGGGAGCAAACAGGAUUAGAUACCCUGAUAGUCCACGCCCUAAACGAUGUCAACUGGUUGUUGGGAAUUAGUUUUCUCAGUAACGAAGCUAACGCGUGAAGUUGACCGCCUGGGGAGUACGCGCAAGUGAAACUCAAAGGAUUGACGGGACCCGCACAGCGGUGGAUGAUGUGGUUUAAUUCGG
rnacentral:rRNA from 1 species